AUCAAUACUCGAAGCUUAAGCGUCUGUCAUAACGUGCGUGCUGUUUUAUUCAGAAUAACGCUUUAUGAGAGAAAAUUAGACAUAUGAAAUUUAAAUUUAAAUUAAUUAAAUUAUGUUGUUACAAAGUGUGAUAUAACUAGCACAUAACAGUAUUUUAAAUCAAAAAAAACUUGUGGGAGUGAAUGCAUAAAACACAGUGCAAUUUAAUAUAACUUUAUAAACAGCUCACGAAAAUUUCAAACUAUAAAUUGAAACACAGUGAUUUAAUAUAACAGACAUUAAACAAUUAGGAAUCUACUUAAGUGGAUAUGGAAGUUGGAUCAUUCCUAGCGAUUAUUUUUAUUUCCAUGUUCUUACUGAAUUUAAGUGAGUUUCAGACAGUAUUCGGUUCAAGUGACUAUGAUUUCAGCACACAGAAAGAUCCACCGAGCAGUCGUCUGACAGCAAACAUCACAUUGAUAUAUAGCGACAAUGACGUUAUACCCAGACGAGCACCAUCAGAAAUCCACAUAGACCUUCACGACCAGAAAUUAAUAUAUGAACUAGAGGCAAGAAAACUACCAAUUAACGCAGAAACAAGGGUCACCUACGGGGACAGUUCAAAAUUAAACCGACAACAAACAUCAAAGAUCAGCAGCGACUGUGUCGUCACGGGAACAUUGACGAAUGACUUCAGGGACAGCCUGGUGUUGUCGUUCUGCAGUGAUAUGACUGGUUUAUUUCAUUAUGAUACGAACACGUUUCACAUAGAAGAGGCAUUCCCCACGGAAUCCAAAGACACAGUCCAAGUUUCGAUCUUAAAAUCCGCAAGAACAAAGCCUUUAGAAGACAGCAUCGGUCCCAUCUUUGGUUCAGAAGUCAUUUUCGACCGCAAGAAACGCGAAGCAAUUCCCCAAAUCACCAUAGAAACGGUGGUCAUUUUGGACGAAGAGUUCGUAGCGAGUGCUCGUUCGCGAGGCCAGGUGACCGAUCAAGACUUGAUUGACUUUAUGACAAUGAGGUGGACUGCGGUCCAAGCAGAAUGGGGCAGGACGGAUUUGUUUGGAUACGACAUACGCAUUGAAGUGAAAGAGGUUGUCAUAUGGGAAACAAAUCCAUCGUGGUACAACCCAAGUACAAUCCUAUUAAACACGCUCAGCAGCAUAUGUAACGGGGCAUAUAACCAUGGACUUUAUACGGACUUCGACCAUAUUCAUCUCUUUACCGGAACCAAAGGCACGGAUGUGUCGGGCAAAGCCUUUACUGGAAAGGUGUGUGAUCCGCGGUACAAAUGCGCGGUGUCGACCGAUACACGCGUGACCGAGUUUACCAUUGCUGCACACGAGUUAGGACACAACAUGGGCAUGAAUCACGACGUUGAUAACGGAUGUCCAGCACCAAAUGACGGCAUUAUGGGCUCCAAGGUCUUCGGAUGGAGCGCUUGCAGCAUCAGUGAAACCAGAGCUCUUCUUAACCAGAGUUCAUCAAGUUGUCUGAAUGAAACAAAUGUCAACUCUCCGACCGCUCUAAACCUUGCUGAUGCCUGGCCAGGGAUGAUAUACACAGAUGACGAGAUAUGUGAAUUUAAGCACGGGAAAGGAUUCAGAUACAGAAAAUUUCCGUAUAGCUCUUUCACUGAAUGCACGCUUUACUCGUGUGUGAACAUGAACACGAGUUCACCACUGUACGGUAUCAUGUACAACGAGGCAGUGCCCACGGAUGGGAGAUACUGUGGUCACCAACAGGUUUGUUCAUCCCAAGUUGUAAAUGGAGCGUACCAGUGUAUAUUCUGGAACGAAACCGGCAUUGAGAUUGGACUAUUAACUGAAGUGCCAGUGGUAUGGUCUACUUACGAAGAAAUGACGCCAUGUAGUCGCACGUGUGGAACAGGUGUUCAAUAUCAGCAGAGGAAAUGCAACGAUCCAACACCAAGGAAUACGAUGUGGUGUGACGGACAUGAGUACCAGGCCCAACUCUGCAACACACAUCCCUGCUCAGAUGAUCCGGGUGACGAUGUCGAACUCCGGAAGACCCGGGCAGGUGAGCGUUGCAGCCACAUGAGAGCGGCCGAACUAUAUGAGAAAAUAGGCCUGGUGUCCACCGAUUUUCUCGAUACAGGGGAUAGGUUUAACAGUUAUGAAUGGGGCCAGUGUGAGGUAACGUGUGAUACAGCGGAUGGGGUGACAGUGGGAGAUUUUCAACGGUUUGGUCUGAUGCCCGACGGAACGCCAUGUGACAUUCCGGAAACUACGACAUUUAUUAGUUCCGGUCGCACGGGUCGAUGUAUACAAGGGUAUUGUCAUAUGUUUGGGUGCGACAACUCGACAAGCGAUGUGGUAUUUGACGGAUGUGGGGUAUGUGGUGGAGACAACUCCACGUGCCAGGUCAUAGACGGCGUCUACACAGACAACGUUACAUCCGGAGAGCGUUGGAUCAUGAUGACUCUUCCAGCCGGUGCCUUCAACAUUCAGUUUUACUUUACAUACAACGACAUGAAGCAGCACUUCUUUGAACUUCGAACACUUGACGGGACCGGUAUUAUAACGGGAUCUAGCGAUACGCGGACCAACCCCAAAAACUACGCAGGCACCCACUGGUACUCUUUCUUUGCAACAGCUUACCUGUACGCCGAGGGACCGACGGACACGCCCGUGGUGAUAAAGCUAUACAACAGAGGCUCAAAUUCGAAUGCCGGUGUGCAGUACGCAUAUUCCCUGCCUCAUGAUAUAAGCUCGUGCAUGGGUACUUGUGAGAAUUGGGGCACGUGGAACGACACGUUGUGUGGCUGCGAAUGCGCUUCCGGAUUCUAUGGUAAAUCAUGCAACGCAACCUGCAAUAAGUACUGCAACAACGGACAAAACCUGGCGGCAGACGCGUGCCAGUGCGAUUGUCAGCGGAACACGUAUGGUUUAGUGUGCAAUUGCAGGUACCCGUUUACUGGUCGCGACUGCCAGGACUGCAAGGUUACUUCCUGUCAGAAUGGGGGAACAUUCAACGCCAUUGGCUGCAGGUGUAUCUGUCCUGUUGGAUUCGGUGGACUCGACUGCAGUGACACGUGUGCUGACAAAAUCGUAGACUGUGCAACGAAUGUAGCCGCAGGAGAAUGCGAAAGUCAGAAUGAAAAUAUGGAGAAAAAUUGCUACCUGUCAUGCGGUCUUUGCGAAGCAGGCUCGACAACGACAGCGGCACCAACGGAUACAACAACAUCAGCAUCCGAUAACCUUUCGUGGUUAGUAGAAUAUAUAGCCUAUAAACUAGCAGGAUGAAAUAUAAAACUAUUUGGGGCAGGGGUCAACUGUUGGCAGCGGGCAAGGAGGCGGCGCAGGGGCUAACACCGUGGACAAGGAUUUACUUAUAACGCUACUCGUUUGUUACAGUGUACUCAUAUUUUCGUUCCCUAAUAUGUGCUAGAAUUGACAAUAUUUGUUUUAGAAUAAAACUUUGAGAUUUUUCUUUA